rnacentral:rRNA from 1 species
GACGAACCGAGCGAACGUUGUUCGGAAUCACUGGGCUUAAAGGGCGCGUAGGCGGGCGGCUAAGUCUGUGGUGAAAUCCUCCAGCUCAACUGGAGAACUGCCAUGGAUACUGGUUGUCUCGAGGAAGGUAGGGGUAUGCGGAACUAUCGGUGGAGCGGUGAAAUGCGUUGAUAUCGAUAGGAACUCCGGUGGCGAAGGCGGUUCUCUGGGCAUGAUCUGACGCUGAGGAGCGAAAGUGUGGGGAGCGAACAGG